rnacentral:tRNA from 1 species
GGAAGCAUGCCUGAAAGUUAAGGACCUCCUUGAUAGGGAGAAAAAUAGGCGUUCGAAUCCCCUUACUUCCU